rnacentral:rRNA from 1 species
ACCCGCUGAACUUAAGCAUAUCAAUAAGCGGAGGAAAAGAAACCAACAGGGAUUGCCCUAGUAACGGCGAGUGAAGCGGCAACAGCUCAAAUUUGAAAUCUGGCGUCUUUGGCGUCCGAGUUGUAAUUUGCAGAGGGCGCUUUGGCAUUGGCAGCGGUCCAAGUUCCUUGGAACAGGACGUCACAGAGGGUGAGAAUCCCGUACGUGGUCGCUAGCCUUUACCGUGUAAAGCCCCUUCGACGAGUCGAGUUGUUUGGGAAUGCAGCUCUAAAUGGGAGGUAAAUUUCUUCUAAAGCUAAAUACUGGCCAGAGACCGAUAGCGCACAAGUAGAGUGAUCGAAAGAUGAAAAGCACUUUGGAAAGAGAGUUAAAAAGCACGUGAAAUUGUUGAAAGGGAAGCGCUUGCAGCCAGACUUGCCUGUAGUUGCUCAUCCGGGUUUUUACCCGGUGCACUCUUCUAUAGGCAGGCCAACAUCAGUUUGGGCGGUUGGAUAAAGGUCUCUGUCAUGUACCUCUCUUCGGGGAGAACUUAUAGGGGAGACGACAUGCAACCAGCCCGGACUGAGGUCCGCGCAUCUGCUAGGAUGCUGGCGUAAUGGCUGU